CUUCGGUGAUGAUAAGAUGACGAGUCAGAAGCAGGUGGCUCUUGCUGCUGUACUUCUGCAGUGUCAUGUUCUGUGAUGCUGUGUGUGGCUCUUCAGCAAGAGCUUUCUGUCAUCACUGGAUGAUUUAGAGGCAUUUGUCUGAGAAGG
rnacentral:snoRNA from 1 species